GCAAGUCGAACGGUGUCUUCGGACAUAGUGGCGCACGGGUGCGUAACACGUAUGCAACCUACCUUACAUUGGGGGAUAGCCUUUCGAAAGGGAGAUUAAUACCGCAUAAGACAGUAACUUGGCAUCAAGUAGCUGUUAAAGAUUUAUCGAUGUAAGAUGGGCAUGCGUCCAAUUAGUUAGUUGGCGAGGUAACGGCUCACCAAGACUUUGAUUGGUAGGGGAACUGAGAGGUCAAUC
rnacentral:rRNA from 1 species